UUGUAUUGUUUAUAUAAGUUCGGUCGCAUCGUUUUUUCCUCAUUAUUUUAUUGAACAUUCGUUUAAAAUGUCGCGUCACUUAAACAUUGUGUUUAUUGCUGUAGUGUUAGUACAUUGUUCGCCUGCAUCAUGUGGUAAAAAGCCUUUAUCAUGCCACGCCAACGAAGAAUACGGUUGUAGAAAGCUUCCAUGUGAGACGGAUUCUUGCACUCGUAUAACUGCACGUAUCAUCUGUGAACCUAAUACAGUGUGCACGCCAGGAUAUUACUGCAAGUCACCUUUCUAUAGACUUGACAGCGGAGAGUGUGUGCCGUACUGCCAAUGUCCACAGGUUGCUAAUACCCUCGAGUGUGCCGCAUCGGGGCGUUAGUCAAACAUAGUCUGACUUCCCAAUGGAGUUAUCCAAAUUACAAACUUAACUUUACUUUUGCUGUUACGUAACUAUAACCUGUCUGAAUUAGAUGAUAUCAACACCUCAAGUCAAGGACGCUGGGAGUUGAGUAAGUUUGCAAUUUGGUAGGUCUUUAAUCGUGUCGGACCGCGGUUCGAACCGUCGAAGAGCUUAUUUGUAAUGGGUCUAUUCGGACUGCAUUGGGCUCGGUUUGGAGAUAGUAUUUACUUUAAUUUUCAUUUUGCCCUAUGGUUUGAAUCGACCCAUUCCAAAAGAUAUCUGGGGUAAUUCGCACCGCUCCAACCACAGCGGUAUGAAACGACCCAUUCAACAAGAGUAGUAGUCGAUUCCGGUCCGAAAUGCUCGCGGUCCGAAACGACUUAAGACCCAAUUUGGCCCCUGGCAAGUCAGAGUGGUAGAUAAGGAGGCAAAUACCAACUAAACCUGUUUACCUGCGUUCAAACGUUAAUUAUACAUGUAAUAUAAAUAA